CCUACGGGUGGCAGCAGUGGGGGAUAUUGCACAAUGGGGGGAACCCUGAUGCAGCGACGCCGCGUGGGUGAAGAAGCGCCUCGGUGCGUAAGGCCCCGUCAGCAGGGAAGAAAAUUACGGUACCUGAAGAAGAAGCCCCGGCCAACUACGUGCCAGCAGCCGCGGUAAUACGUCGGGGGCAAGCGUUAUCCGGAUUUACUGGGUGUACAGGGGGCGCAGGCGGCGUGGCAAGCCAGGAGGGAAAGCCCGGGGCCCAACCCCGGGACUGGUGUUGGAACUGCGUGGCUGGAGUGCAGGAGGGGCAGGCGGAAUGCCUGGUGUAGCGGUGAAAUGCGUAGAUAUCAGGAGGAACACCGGUGGCGAAGGCGGCCUGCUGGACUGCAACUGACGUUGAGGCCCGAAAGCGUGGGGAGCAAACAGGAUUAGAUACCCGUGUAGUC
rnacentral:rRNA from 1 species